rnacentral:lncRNA from 1 species
GGAGAUCGAACUUGGGUCCUUUACAGGUAGAUCUCACUAUGCAGUCCAGGCUGGCCUUGAUCUUGAGGUGAUCUUCCUGCCUCAGCCUACUGAGUGCUGGGAUUACAGGCAUGCACCACUAUACCUGUCACUCAGCCCCAUGCUAUAUCCAGCACCACAGAAACCUCAGUGUCUGGGCUCUGCUGUGUUUGGGGGCACCAGGAAGCCUUGGAGGGGACUAAGACUUGAGACGAAAAGCAACAGCCUGCCCAGAACCUGUGCAUCCUCUGCCCUCCCAAGGUUGGUCUAUGCCAGAAUGAGCCUUGGGCAUCACACAGAAGAGCUGGGCCUCAGUGGCCACAAGGGGGAUCGAAAUCAGGACCUUGUGCUUGCGAGCCAGGCAUGGUGCCACUGAGCUAAAUCCCCUGCUACAGCACUCCUAAUGGACUCUCCUUUGUUUCUGUACCAGCGUCUUCUGUCUUACCUCUUCCUGUAUUUCUUUUUUGCCAAUAAAGAUUUGUUUAUUAUAAAUCACUUGGUCUGUGGUGUUCUGUUUUAGCAGAACAAAAUAGACUCAGUCACCCCUGUGACUCUAGAACAUUUCUCAGCCUUUCUUUGUUUUCUAUGAUGUUGACAUUUUUGAAGAAUACAUUCUUCUUCCCUGAGGGUUUUUUUCCCAUUGAGUUUAUUGGUACAUUUUAGGUAUACAAUAGAGUUACAUUCAUCAUUGGGAUCUUGUACCUUUA